GGGAAGAAGGUCUUCGGAUCGUAAACCGCUUUUCUGAGGGAAGAGCAAGGACGGUACCUCAGGAAUAAGUCUCGGCUAACUACGUGCCAGCAGCCGCGGUAAAACGUAGGAGGCGAGCGUUAUCCGGAUUUACUGGGCGUAAAGCGCGUGCAGGCGGUCCUGCAAGUCAUGCGUGAAAGCUCCCUGGCUCAACCGGGAGAGGUCGUGUGAAACUGCGGGACUUGAGGCAGAGAGAGGCGAGUGGAAUUCCGGGUGUAGUGGUGAAAUGCGUAGAUAUCCGGAGGAACACCAGUGGCGAAGGCGACUUCCUGGCCUGUUCUUGACGCUGAGGCGCGAAAGCUAGGGGAGCAAACGGGAUUAGAUACCCCGGUAGUCCUAGCCGUAAACGAUGGACACUAGGUGUUGGUGGUAUCAACCCCGCCAGUGCCGAAGCUAACGCAUUAAGUGUCCCGCCUGGGGAGUACGGCCGCAAGGCUA
rnacentral:rRNA from 1 species